GGGUGUGAGGGUGAUCUGGCUGUGACAUCUGUCACCCCAGUGAUCGCCAGGGUUGAUUCGGCUGAUCUGGCUGGCUAGGCAGGUGUCCCUUCCUCCCUCACGGCUCCAUGUGAGGACAACUGUUGGGGUGAAUGCA
rnacentral:snRNA from 1 species